UAUCGUAUGGUCUAGUGGUUAUGGCAGUCGGCCAAUGGCCGGAGGACCCAGGUUCGAUUCCUGGUGCGAUAA
rnacentral:tRNA from 1 species